rnacentral:rRNA from 1 species
UUACUAAAGCAUUAAAGGGAUACUUAAACACUAAAACUUUUAAAAUGGGCAUUUAAAAAUGAAAUGUUGCAGGGAGUAAAUUAAUUUGCUGAGAGUUGCAAUUUUCCAUAAAUCGGAAAACCGAUCUUUGAUAAAUAAAGAAUUAUUUAAAAUUUAAAUAAUAAAACUUAGUGAACUGAACCAUCUAAGUAACUAAGAAUAAAAUCAACCGAGAUACUGUUAUUAGUGGCGAGCGAAUACAGUAAAUAGACUUUAAUUAUUAAAAAUAUUAAAAAAUACAUAAGUAGCCAAAGAAGGUUGCCUGUAAUUUAAGGAUAGCCCUGUAUUUUAAUAUUUAAAAUUUUUUAAAAAACAGUAAAAUGAAACAAGUCAUGUUUUGUUUGAAACAUGGGGCCCCAUCCUCAAAGUCUAAAAAUUUUUAGUGAUUGAUAGUGAACAAGUACCGUAAGGGAAAAGUGAAAAAGACUUUGCGAAAGUGAAAAGAUUUUGAAAUUUAAUGCUGACAAUCUGUUGUAGCUUAAAAAAGUGACAGCGUACCUUUUGCAUAAUGGACCAACAAGUUUAUUUUAUCGGCGAGCUUAAGCAUUAAAAUGCAUAGGCGUAAAGAAAAUAAGUUUUAAAAUGCGGUUAAGUCGUUAAAUUAAGACCCGAAACUAAGUGAUCUAACCAUGAACAGGCUGAAUUUUAGGCGGAAAACGCCUUUUGGAGGGCCGAACUCGUGUAUGUGGAAAAAUACUGAGAUGAUUCGUGGUUAGGGGUGAAAGGCCAAUCAAACUUAGAGAUAGCUGGUUUUCUGCGAAAUCUAUUUAAGUAGAACGUUUAAAGAACUUUGAUAGGGGUAGAGCUCUUAAUAAACAAUGGGGGCUUAACGCUUUAUUGAGUUUAUUAAAACUUCGAAUACUAUAUAUAAAUGACUUUAAACAGACAGACUUUGAGUGCUAAGAUUCAGAGUCAAGAGGGAAACAGCCCAGAUUACUAACUAAGGUUCUCAAAAAUAUUUUAGUGAAAAAAUUGUGAAAAAAUAUCGACAAUCGAUAGGUAGGCUUAGAAGCAGCCAUCCUUUAAAGAAAGCGUAACAGCUCAUUGGUUCAGUUUUUUUGCAUUGAAAAUGUAUAGAACUAAAAAUAUUUACCGAAGUUGUAAAUUUAUUUUUUUAAUAUAUGGUAGCAGAACGUUCUGUAAAUCAAAAAAGUUUUAUAGUUAUAUAAAAUGAAGAUAUCAGAAAUGAAAAUGUUGGUAUGAGUAACGAUAAACAAUGUGUAAAACAUUGUCGCCUUAAGUUUAAGGUUUCCAAAACAAGGCUAAUCCGUUUUGGUUUUAAAGUUAAUCGGUCUCUAAGAAUUGAAACGAAAGUUUUAUUUAAUGAGAUAAUAAAAAUUAAUUUUAUAGUAAUUUUAAAGUGACAAAAUAUAAAUAUUAUUUUCAUUUUAUGGUUAAAAUGAAAGUUUUAUAGUAUUUUCAAGAAAUAGCUUUAAAAAAUUUAAACCGUACCUUAAACCGACACAGGUAAACAAGUUUAGUAAACUAAGGCGCUUGAGUGAAUUAUGUUGAAGGAACUCGGCAAAAUGACUCCGUAACUUCGGGAGAAGGAGUGACUUUAUUAGGGUAACCUGAUGAAGUUGUCACAAAAUCGGGGACAGCGACUGGUUAAUAAAACCACAGGUCUUUGCUAAUUCGUAAGAAGAUGUAUUAAGACUGACGCCUGCCCAGUGCUGCAAGAUUAAAGGAAGAGGUCUUUUGGCUUUAACCUAAACUCCCAGUAAACGGCGGCUGUAACUCUGACGGUCCUAAGGUAGCGAAAUUCCUUGGCAUUUAAUUGGUGUCCUGCAUGAAUGGCGUAACGACUGUCCCACUGUCUCCAACAUAAGCUCAGUGAAAUUGAAUUUUUCGUGAAGAUGCGAAAUUCUUGCGGCUAGACGGAAAGACCCCGUGCACCUUUACUAUAGUUAUGCAUUGGAAUGAAUUAUUUUUUGUGUAGGAUAAGUGGGAAAUUGUAAAUAGCUAUUUGCAUUAGUGAAUUGGUAAAAUACUUGUGAAAUACCACUCUGAAAAUUUUUUAUUCCUUAUUUUUUAAAACAGUGUAUAAUGGGUAGUUUGACUGGGGCGGUCGCCUCCUAAAGAGUAACGGAGGCGUACAAAGGUAAUCUUAAGUUGAACUAGAACAACUUUAAAGCGUAAUAGUAUAUGUUUGCCUGACUGUAAGAUUGACAAAUCAAGCAGGGACGAAAGUCGGUUAUAGUGAUCCGGUGAUUCUGCGUGGAAAAGGUCACCGCUCAACGAAUAAAAGGUACGCCGGGGAUAACAGGCUAAUCACUCUUUAGAGACCCUAUCGACGGAGUGGUUUGGCACCUCGAUGUUGGAUUAUCGCAUCCUGGAGCUGAAGGCGGUUCCAAGGGUUUGGCUGUUCGCCAAUGAAGGCGGUACAUGAUCUGAGUUUAGAACGUCGUGAGACAGUUUGGUCCCUAUCUACCGCAAGUGCAAAAAAUUGAGAAGAGUAAACUCUAGUACGAGAGGACCGAGAAAAGUAAAUCCAUGGUGAGUCGAUUGUUAGACCAAUAGCAUUGUCGAGUAGCUACAUUUAUAAUAAAUAAUCACUGAAAGCAUCUUAAGUGAGAAAUUAACUUCGAUACAAAUUUUUUAAAAAAUGUAAUAAAUGAUUACAUAGAUAGGCUUGGUGUGUAAUAGCUGUAAGGUUUUAAGCUCACAAGUACUAAAAAUAUAAUUUUUAUAACUUUUAAU